rnacentral:rRNA from 1 species
UACGUAGGGUGCGAGCGUUGUCCGGAAUUAUUGGGCGUAAAGAGCUCGUAGGCGGCUUGUCGCGUCGGUUGUGAAAGCCCGGGGCUUAACUCCGGGUCUGCAGUCGAUACGGGCAGGCUAGAGUGUGGUAGGGGAGAUCGGAAUUCCUGGUGUAGCGGUGAAAUGCGCAGAUAUCAGGAGGAACACCGGUGGCGAAGGCGGACCUCUGGGCCAUUACUGACGCUGAGGAGCGAAAGCGUGGGGAGCGAACAGG